rnacentral:rRNA from 1 species
UACGUAGGGGGCAAGCGUUGUCCGGAAUUAUUGGGCGUAAAGAGCGCGUAGGCGGUCCGGUAAGUCGGUUGUGAAAGUCGGGGGCUCAACCCUCGGAUGCUGAUCGAUACUGAGGAUCUCGAGUCCGGGAGAGGUGAGUGGAACUGCGAGUGUAGAGGUGAAAUUCGUAGAUAUUCGCAAGAACACCAGUGGCGAAGGCGGCUCACUGGCCCGGUACUGACGCUGAGGUGCGAAAGCGUGGGGAGCAAACAGG